CGUUGAUUUUUCAAAUUUUGAUUGCCUUUAAAACUUCUCUCUACAUCUCUCCAUCUCUCUAUCUCUCCUCCUCCAAUCUGGUUUUAGUUCCAAAAUAAAAGUCCAGCAUAAUUUUUUAAGGGUUUACACAAAAUGGGGUCUGGUUCAAAAUCAACCGGACCAUCAUGUAAGUCAAAUGGAGAAAGCAAUGCACCCUUUUUUUGCUAUUGCAAUGACGUUGUUGUAACUCGAACCGCAAAAAAUGGAAUCAACGCUGGCAGCCGUUUCUAUGGUUGUCCAAAUUGGCCGUUUCAGGGGAGAAUGCUUGCAAAUUGUUUGAAUGGGUCCCAGGUCAGACUAUCGCCCCAAUUGGUAUGAAGUAUAAUGAGUUUCAGCUUCAAGUCCUAGAGUUGAACACACAGAUAGCAGAAUUGGAGAUGAAGAACAGUAUAAUAGAAAAUAAGGUAAAGAAAUUACAAAUCGAAAGGGAUAGUUUGGAAGAGAUGAACCAGGAAUUGAAAAAUGAGCUGACCCACAUGCGGAUCGAGUUAAUGAAUUGCUCAAGGAAUGAGAAGAAUGUGUCAAUGAUUUUGGUUUUUUCAUGGCUAAUGUUCGCUGUCAUAGCUAUGUUACUGAGGUAGCAAGCUUAUGGAAGAUAAUUAUUGUUAAUGGUAGCAGUGUAACUUAAAUUUUCCACUAGGUUGUGGGUGGAGUUGUUUGUUUAGCAAAAACAUCGCCUUUUGUUUUCUUAUGCUUCUCGUUAUGUAAUCGUUUAUCAUCGUAUGGAAUGAAAAAAAACACGUAGAUUAUUAACUUGUUUAA